rnacentral:rRNA from 1 species
AUACGUAGGGAGCGAGCGUUGUCCGGAAUUACUGGGUGUAAAGGGAGCGUAGGCGGGACUGCAAGUCAGAUGUGAAAUACCGGGGCUUAACCCCGGAGCUGCAUUUGAAACUGUGGUUCUUGAGUGAAGUAGAGGCAAGCGGAAUUCCUGGUGUAGCGGUGAAAUGCGUAGAUAUCAGGAGGAACACCGGUGGCGAAGGCGGCUUGCUGGGCUUUUACUGACGCUGAGGCUCGAAAGCGUGGGUAGCAAACAGGAUUAGAUACCCUGGUAGUCCACGCUGUAAACGAUGAUUGCUAGGUGUGGGGGGUCUGACCCCUUCCGUGCCGCAGUUAACGCAAUAAGCAAUCCACCUGGGGAGUACGGCCGCAAGGCUAAAACUCAAAUGAAUUGACGGGG